CAAUAGCGUAUAUUAAAGUUGUUGCAGUUAAAAAGCUCGUAGUUGGAUUUCGGGGCAGCCUGGCUGGUCCGCCGCAAGGCGAGUACUGGUCAGCCGCCCUUCCUCUCGAAAGCCCCGACUGCUCUUCGUUGCAGUGGUCGGGUAGUUCGGGACGUUUACUUUGAAAAAAUUAGAGUGUUCAAGGCAGGCCUACGCCUGAAUACAUUAGCAUGGAAUAAUGGAAGAGGACCUCGGUCCUAUUUUGUUGGUUUCCAGGGCCGAAGUAAUGAUUAAGAGGGACAGUUGGGGGCAUUCGUAUUUAAUUGUCAGAGGUGAAAUUCUCGGAUUUAUGAAAGACGAACAACUGCGAAAGCAUUUGCCAAGGAUGCUUUCAUUAA
rnacentral:rRNA from 1 species